GUCCUUAUGAAUUUAAUUUAAGGUUUGACCUGCCCACUGAAAUUAUUUGAAGGGCCGCAGUAAUUUGACUGUGCAAAGGUAGCAUAAUCAUUAGUUUUUUAAUUAAAAGCUUGUAUGAAGGGUUGGACGAGGUAAAUUCUGUCUCUAUUUAAUUUAAUAUAGAAUUUAAUUUUUAAGUUAAAAAGCUUAAAUUUUUUUAAAAGACGAGAAGACCCUAUAGAUCUUUAUAUUAUAAUUAUUAAUUUUAAUUAAGAAUAUUUUAUUUUUUAUUAUUUAUAUUAUUUUAUUGGGGUAAUAAAAAGAUUAAUUGAAUUCUUUUUUUAUUUUUACAUUAAUAAAUGAUUAUAUGAUCCAAUUUUAUUGAUUAAAAGAUUAAGUUACCUUAGGGAUAACAGCGUAAUUUUUUUAGAGAGUUCAUAUCGAUAAAAAAGUUUGCGACCUCGAUGUUGGAUUAAAAAUUAUCUUAGGUGCAGAAGUUUAAGAUUUUGGUCUGUUCGACCAUUAAAUUUUU
rnacentral:rRNA from 2 species